AGAGGCCUCUCGAGGCAGGGCUAGAAGCGGUGGCCUCACCCUUGAGGCCCGGGCACUUCCCGUCUCCUCCCUUGUUCCCCUUCCUCACCCCAAUCCCUACAGCCUCCCGCGCAGCCUGAGCUCUAGGAUUGUGGGUUUUCCAUCCUCCGAAGACAUCACCUUUGCUCAUCUCCCAGGAGAGUCUCAUCCAAAGGAGGGGGGUGCUUUCUGCUUCAGCAGAUCCCACCCCACCCUGGGAUCCGAGGGAGCAAUGGUGGGGCGAGUGAGGGUCUGCCGCAAAUAUCCCCCGACCACCCUCAGGGAAGGCGCUAGAGGCCACAGGCAAAUUUCAGUUUCCCCAUGGAAUAUCUGCUGUGCUGCUGCUGCUGCUGCUGGUGAACUCUUAGGGUCACCUGCAGCACCUUGGGAGCCAGAGAUGCAGCCAAAGAGUGAAAAAUGGUACCAAUCCCAAGACCCAUGUGUUAGGAAGAAACCAGCCAAGACUCAGAUCAGGAUUGGGGAGUCCACCCCUCGUUUCCCUUCAGAGCAUUAUUUCCUUGUUUGCUAAGAGGGGCAGGAACUGGAAAACUCAGGCUAGCCCAUCUGAGAAGACUUUCUUGGAGAAGAGCUGGAGGAGGGAGGAGUAAGGCCUUGGAAAGAAACUCCAGGACAGCACCACCUCCCCUACACUGGGACCUCGUCUCUAACUGGCAGAGUGGUCAAUGAAAAAAAGGGCAUGCCUUGGCACAUCAUGGUCAAACUGCUAAAAGCCAAAGACAAAGAGAAAAUCUUUUCUUUUUUUUUCAAUCCCAUCCUAAAGACUAGACAGAACAAUAUUUUCAAUGUCACUGUUUUCUCAUCAAAAGCCAUAUAGACGAGAAGGCAGUGGAAUAUCUCUAAAAUACUGAAGGAAAAAAAAGUCAACUCAGAAUUGUUUUUCUAGUGAAAGUAUUCUUCCAGAAUGAAGAUGAAAUAAAGCUAUUUUCAGAUAAAAGAAAACAGAGAUUCUUGUCACCAGCAGACCUCCACUAUGGGAAGCGCUUAGGACAGGCACGACAGCUCCCGCCUAUAAUCCCAGCAUUUUGGGAGGCCAAAGUGGGAGGAUUGCUUGAGCUCGGAAGAUGGAGGCUGCAGUGAGCCAUGAUGGUACCACCGCACUCCGGCUUGGAUGACAGAAUGAGACCCUGUCUCAAAUUGGAAGAGCAGAGCUGCAGACAGGAAUAAAAAGAAUGGUAAAUUUGGAGAUGGGACCAUCUAGUUGCAAGAAAACAAGCUCAGAGCUCCUGCUGAUUGUACAUUAUGGGCUGUGGGCUCCUUGAGGGAGGAAAUUUGUCCUGCAGGUUGUGGCAGCCCUAGGACUGAGCACAUCUAGGUGUCCACCUGUGUCUGUGGAAGAAGAAGAGGAGGAGGAGGAGGAAGAAGAAGAAGAAGAAAGAUGGUGAGAUAUCCUUCAGGAGACCAGGGCCAGGAGGGUGGAGGCCUCUCAAGAAGAGGGAAGCAGGAGGAAGCUCCAGGGCAGGAUGGUUAUACCGCCUGGACAGCAAGAUGAUGGCUACAUUAGCCCCCAUUCUCUGGGCGCCUGGAUUUGCCCACCAGAUCUCCUCACCUCUUGCCGUUCACCUCCUGCUGUACAUACAAGGUCUCCCCGAUUCUCAUCUGCCCAUAAUCAUGGACGCAGCCCCAGGAUGUGCAGGGUGAGUCCCCAGGGACCCUGACAGCAUGGGUACUGUCAUGACUGAGGGUGUUACACCAGGGAGAGGGAGCCGGGGAGACUUCCCAGAGAGCUGGUUGGGGGUUAUGAAAGUGGCCUCACGGCUCUUGCUGUGGCUAAUGCUGUGUGGCUCAUGCUGUGGCUCACACCUGUAAUCCCAGCACUUGGGGAGGCUGAGGCGGGCAGAUUGCUUGAGGUCAGGAGUUCGAGAUCAGCCUGGCCAACAUGGUGAAACCCAGUCUCUACUAAAAAUACAAAAAAACUACGUGGGUCUGGUGGCACGCGCCUGUAGUCCCAGCUACUCAGGAGGCUGAGGCACGAGAAUCACUUGAACCUGGGAGGCGGAGGCUUCAGUGAGCCGAGAUUGCACCACUGCACUCCAGCCUGGGCAGCAGAGCAAGAUUCUGUCUC
rnacentral:antisense_RNA from 1 species